rnacentral:lncRNA from 1 species
UUCAAUAAGGAAGGAAAAAACCUUGCUGGGAUGGGAAGGCUUCCUUGGGGUAGAAAGCCAUUGGGCUCAGAAAUGAAAGAGAUGGGAAAUGUUCUCUGGGUUUGAAAGCAUUGGGAAGCAAAAGCAUUGGGAUGGGCAAUCGCUCCUGGGAUGGGAAAGUACUGGGACGGGAAAUCUUGAAUGGGGUGGGUAACAUUUAUUGAAGUAGGAAAACCAUGAGAAAGUCAUCCAAGAGAGGGGAAUUCUUUGGGACGAGAUCUCUUUGGAUGAACAAACGCUUUGUGUUGAUGGGAAAUCUUUUGUAUGGGAAUCUGUUAUCAUGUGAACUUGUCAGGAUGGGAAAUGACCAUGAGGAUGAAAGCUGGUACUGGGGUGGGAAAUGCUUAGGACGGGGAAGAGGCGGUGUGGAAGCGUCGUGGGCAUGGCAAGUGCUGCGUGGGAGGGCAAGCCUGCUGGGGAUGGCCAAGUCUUGUGCUGGGCAGCCUGCUUGGGUCCAAAGCCUGCAGUCCUCCCCAAGAUGUUGUCGAGGGGCUGGUCAGCCGUUGGGACGGAACCCCCGUUGCCCGGGUUCCCCAAGCAACCGCCCCACUCUCCAGCCACCAUGAGGGUUUCCCCAGACGGCUUCUGCGGGUUGCGCAGACGCAAAACUCCUCCUUCGUCGUCGCAGCCGUGCCGUCAACGGUGGCUGCCUGGCUGCUGCCCUCCCUCCCCGGAGCGACGGCGGUGCCCUUGCAGCCCCCGCAUGCACCUGCCUGUUGCAGGCCCCCGCCCAGCGCAACCCCCCGCCACCCCUCGUCCCGGGACCUCCGCUGCAGAGGCAGGUGCUCCCCAUGCCCCGCACCCUGAGCAGCAGCCUUGGGCAGCUGCCAGAGCCCUGCUUGCACGCCGUAAGGCUCAGCGAGGACCAGGGGCCCCCGCUGCCCGGCCCCACUCCCCCUGAGCCUGCCCAGGCUCCAAGGACUGCCAGCACCCAGACGGCGACACCCGACGCGGUGACAGCCCCGCAGGUGCCUGAGGAGCCCCCGCAGCUGCCCGAGCUGGGCCCUGAUGCCUUGGCCGAGGCCUUUCCAGAGCUGGCAGGGGACAGCCAGCAGCUGCAGCACAUGCAGGACGAGCUCCUGGCCGACCUGGACAUCCCCAUCCCCGGCAUGGAGGAGCUGCUCAGCUGGCUCGAUGCCGUGGAGCCCCAGGACGCCUUCGCCGAUUUGCCCAGCAGUCCUGCCCUCAGCCGCUUCCACUCCCAGCUGCCUGACCUCUGCGAGGACAUUGAGCAGCCGAGCACGCAGGGACUGGAAGCCACAGGAGCCCUCGGUGAGGUCCCCUCAACCCCUGGGGUGCGCCCCGAGAAGCUUGAGGGUGGGCUGUCGCUGCAGUCCCCCUUCAUGACAGCAGUGAGCCCCCCGCUCAGCCCUGCAGCCAGUCCCCUGUUCAGUGCGCUUAGGAGCCCCCUACCCAGUCCACCCCUGAGUCCCCCCAGGAGCCUCCCUGACACCCAGGUCCUCAGUGCCCUUAGUAGACCCCUGCCCCAACCCCCCCAGCAUUCUCUCAAGACCUGCCCCAACACCAAGGUCCCCAGUGCCCUUAGUAGACCCCAGCCCAAAUCCCCCCCGAGCUCCCCCAAGAAACGCCCAAACCCCAAGGGCCGCAGUGACCAUAGGAGACCCCUGCCCAAAUGCCCCCUGGGUCCCCUCAAGAGCCCCCUGGCUGCCCCUGCGUCCACCGGCACCAAGCGGGGGGCCAAGCGCCCUGCACCCAGCAGCACCCCUGGGACAGCGCAGAGCUGCCAGCACAGGAGGCCGACGAUAGAGAACCCCCCCGGCAAGGAGAGGAAGAUGCUGCUGGGCCAGGCUGGCCAAGGCCGCAAGAGACCGUACCAGGGGAAGACGGGUGGCAGCAGCACGGUGGCUGGCAGCAGCAGGGAAGCAGGCAGCAGCGGGCAGCAGCCGGCGACCAACAGCACCACGGCACCCAGCAAGAGAGCGCGAAGCCCAGGGGCUGCAGGGGAGCAAGGAGCAGCGUCACCACCUCCCCGCAGAGCGCGGCUGCUGCCGGAGACUCCGAGUGGGGAGCCCCAUGCCGUACGGCCCCAGGACAGGCUCUGUCCCCAGGCCAUCGGGGCCAAGAUGCUGCAGCGCCAGCAGCCGGGGACAAAGACCCCCAGCGAGACUUUGCAGCCGCUGGGGGCCAGGGCCAAGGCGCUGGGGCCAGUGCACCAGCCGUCCUGUGUGCAGCCGCAGCCCAC